rnacentral:lncRNA from 1 species
AGUUCCAGGUAGCCACUGAACGAUCUAGUCAUGGGAUCACUGCGCAGGCAGCAGCCUCUAUGACUCCUGGUUGGGCACAGACUUUUCCUUGCCGUACCCCUGAGAUCUACCUAAUACAAAGGAUUUGCAGUCACCAAGACAAACGUGCUCACACCUAUGAGAGUAUUUCCAGAGAGGGUUAAUUAGCAGAGAGGGCACCAUCUCAGGGCUUGGGGUCCUGGACUGAAUAAAAAGGGAAAAUGGAGCUGAGCUAGCAGCAGCAUUUCUCACCCCCUGCUGCCUGACUGGAUACAAAGUGACCAGCUGCCUCAAGCUCGUGCCUUCUCCCCCCAAGUCCUGUGAAGGACCAUAACCUCACACCUGUAAAAUCCCUUCCAUCCAUGUUUUUCUUUUUGUCAGAACAAAGAAAAAAGUAACCAAUACAGAAAAUUGGUACCUGGGAGUAGGGCUGGAGUAAACCUGACCAGGCUGUUCUUAGACCUUUGGAAUGGGGUGGGCAAGAGGAAAGCCCUAGAGUUCUCGGUGAAAAUAGAGACUAAUGGGCCAUGAGAGAAACCGAGGAGGGCCUGGCUCAUGAGGUCUCCAGAGAGUUAAGGACUUUCUUUAUGGGCAACCAGCCUAUGUGUGUGACAUUCUGGCAAAGAAUCUCAUCUUCAACCAUGCUUUGUCCAUGUCCCAAAAGCCUGAGUGAGGCUGAACUCAAAGGUAAUAGGCUAACUGGUUUGGUGGAGGAUACUUCAAGACAGAAUAGCAGGCAGCCCGUGGCUCGGCCACUGUUGGCUCUUCUCAGAAACGGGAGCAGCAAGCUAUGAAGAGUGCAGCUCAGCGAGUAAGGGUGUGUAAAGUCCCACGAGGCCUUGCUGGGAAAGCAGCUGUUGUUGUUAAAGACUUAACACCCUUAAAGGGAAACAUCAGUUCACCACCAGGACAACAGGCAAGGUACCCGGCAACUCAAGAUUCCACCUAUGAAAGGCUCUCACUUGUAGACUGCAGAUCCAUUCGAAAGGAGGGAGCCUGGGUGGUAUGGAGUGGACCUGAAUGAAGACAGGCUAUAUGCUGCAAGAAGCAGAAGUGCAGGAGAGGGCCUGCCCAAGGCUCUGGAGCCCAGAUGAUGCCCCCGAAGCCCAGGUGCUGCAUCAAGACUUGGUGUUUAUCUGGCUGGGACACACUUUUGCUUUGGUUCAAUCUCACUGUGUUGUGCCUCUAAUCCUCGUUUUAUUUGUGUAUGUGCGUGUGCAUGUGCAUGCAUAUGUGUGUUCAGAUGCAUGUAGGUACCUAGAAGAGGCCAAAAGAGGGCGUCAGAUCUCUGGAGUUGAAACUACAGGCAACUGUGAGCUCCGUGUCAUGGGUGCUGGAAACUGAACUGUGGUCCUUUGUAAGAGCAGUAACUGUUGAGUCUGCUGAGUCUCUGUCUCAUGUCCAAAUCCUCACCUUUGAAAUGGGAUCACUUAUUCUGUACCAUUGGAUAUUAGAAGUAUGUAACUUGUUUUGUUUUGUUUUUCCUUUAUUUCACAGGGGCUUACAGUUAAAAGAUUGCCUGAGACUCAGCAGAGAGUCUUGUACUUAUGUCUUGGGGGGUAGGGGGAGAAUUGGAUCUGUGAAGGGUUUGCAGAUUUUUAGAGAUGGACUAAAUGCAUAUUGCUGCAUAAAAUGAGCAUGAGACUUUCUAAGGUCAGAAUGUUACCAUUUAAAAGUGACAUGCUUGAGUGUCAAGUUAACAAGGGGUGGGCUGAGGUGGUUGGUAUUGUCAACCUGGUAGGAUUCACAAUCACAAGAAGACAAAGUUCUGGCCAUGUCAUUAGGGUGUUUCCAGAAAAGUUUAAUUGAGAAGAGAAAACCCACCCUGAAUGUGAAUAGCAGCAGCCCAAGGCUUAGGGUCCUGGAAUGAAUAAAACGGAGAAAGUGGGUGGAGAGCCAGCAUCCAGUGCUCCUGCUUCCUGACCAUGGACAGAAUCCAGCCAGCUCUCCUGCAUCCAUGGUUUUCCUCACCAUGAUGGAUCAUACCCUCAAGUUGUGAGCCAAAUAAACUCGUUCUUCC